ACUGCCAAGCACCUGCCCAGUUUGAAAGCCAAGACCCAGAGAGGAGCGGGAAGUCGCGGUGGCAUCGCCCUGCUGGAAUGGGGACUGCGGCUCCAGGAGCCAGGGCACUUCUCAAGAAUGAGAAGCCAAGAGGAAUUGCCUGUUCCCAGUAUCCUGGUACAGAAGGAGCUAGCAACCACCAGAGAGAUGAUAGAGAGCGAGCUUAAGGAGCGAUCUUCCUGGGAUGUGGAGACCAGGGGAGUUCACUUGAGUCACAUCAACACACAGGUUCACUACUCCCCCUUUUACAAACUGAUGAAUACAUCCCACCAGCAAGUAGGAGUAUAUUAGCAAAAAAAUCUCUCGACACAGCUCCUGGUCUGGCAGCUAAAUUCUUCUGAUGAUUCCAACUCAAAUCUGGUUGGAGACUGGUCCAGCACCACGCCAACCUCCCACUUCCCAGAGGAGCACUGAGCAGAAAGGCCAGGGAGAGCAAUGAUGGGCAUUUCAAGCUUUUAGUUCACUGCAGAAGUGUGAAUUGAAACAUCUUCUGCCUUUAAUUCAGGCUCUUAUCUGUACAUUUGGAAAGACACACAAAAACCCCUCCAACUUAUUACCACCAGUUUUGGGAGACUUAUUUUCAUUUAUGAGCCAAAGUGUUCCUGUUCUCCAACUGUAUUAGGAAAUAGUCAAAUCUACAAACCACAAGUUAAAAUAAAUAAUAAUAAAGUCCUGGGACACUGAACAGACUAGGACAUUGAAACUGUGUGCUGAAAGAACAAGUUUCAUCAUUUCAGAAAUUCUCAAGCCUUCUCAAGCCCAUAAAACACGCAGAAGAAACCCCACAGAACACUGUGUAACUCAUUCCAGCACCCUGGGCUACCACUGAUAUUUCCCGCAGGGUGAAAUACCUCCACUAGUUUAUCUCCAGUUAAUGAAGAGGCCCAGACCAUGUUUAGCAAACACUGACACAUCCCACACAGGGAAGGGACAUCCAUCAUUCCGUUAAAAGACAUACCAAGCAUAGAAAAUGAAUAUUGCAUAGCUAGAGGAUACACAGCUGAAUAAACCCAGCACUGUGCUUCGCACCACAGACCAUAAACCACUGCAAAUCACUCAUCUUUAGCCACACACGUAAUGCAAAACACUACAUCUUUUUUAUAUGACAUGCACAAGACAAGUCUAAAGAAUAUACUAUUACCAGCUGUUGGUUAUGAAAGCAUCUUACGGGUUUCUCAAAAGGUUUUUGAAGAGAUGGAUUCAGAAACUUCCUUAUUCUUAAGCUGUUACACAAACAGAAGCAGUUGAAAAUAUAACCUGAACAUCUCUGCAAUUAGCAUUUGCCACUGAUUAAGAAUCAAAACAAAAAGCUUUUUGCCGUGAAUCAUCAGGAACAGCGUGAAACCGCAACAAUGAGACCAACAGAUGUGGGUUGUGCUGUUGGAGAAAUCAAAUGUCCUUCCAGAACAUUAUUCACUCAUUCAGCAAGACAGAAUAGCUUUGUUUGGAUACACAACUAAAAUGUAUCUCUAUACAAGGAAGGGAACAGAAAAGCUGCUAGAUAAAAAAAGUCAACUUUGAAGUGAACCAGAAAAACCUCCCAGUGCUUAAUACUUUCACAUAGAUGGGGUUUUUAAAUAAAAAUUAUUUACCCAAAGCCACAAAUUGAAAUGAAAGAUCCUGAAACAAGCCACUGUCCUCGCUGAAGGGUUUGGAUUGCUUAAAUGUAAUUGAUUUGCAAUAGAUUUUGUUCUUCUCAAACACGAAAUUAACAGAUAGAAAACGGAAAGGAAUAUUAUUGAAGCCCGGAAUGUGGUAAGAUUCCCAAAAAAGCAUUCAGCUGUUUGGUAGCAACUGCAGUGGCCAGGAAGCCAUCUUCUCUGCAUGGAUGCUUUGUGGCCAUCACCACACCAUGGCUUACGCUUCCCUGAGCACACUGCAUUCGUGUCACCACUGAGUAUUUUAAAGUUUCCUGUGAAUUUCUGCUGCUCUUGAAGCUUCUAGUAGCCUAUCAAAGUUUCUACCUCAGAUGGGUCUCUUUGGGGCAGAAUCUUUCAGUCAUUUAAGUUGCUCAAUUUGUGUUCGAGCAAAGGCAACAUUAUUUACACCAAAAAUCUUUUCUCUUCAGUUAAAUAAUUGGGAUUCAAUGAUCUCCAGUGUGACUAACAGCUGGCCGUUUGGCUUUCAGCAGUGAAAAACACACUGACUCACUUGAACGCAAUUUGAAGCAACGGGCUACGGACCAUUGGACACAUUUGAUAAUAUGGCAGAGUAAAAUCCAGAUUCGCCCCUCAAAUUUUUUCAUAGGAAUUGGAUGUUAGCCUGAUAUUUUAAUGGUUUGGAGCUUGUUCUGCAUUUGCUUUAGAUCUGUGUUUCAAAUUUGAGAAGUUAUAGGAGAGGGAUGAAAAAAAAACAGGGGGGGAAAAUCCCCAAGAACUUUAAGACUAAAUUCUUUAGAGCUGUGCUUUACCAAUUCAGCACUGAAACAUUUUAUUCAGUGGCACAUUUGUCUUAGAAAUGCUCCUAAACCAAACUCUUUUUUAUACCUGAGAGGGUAGAGAAUACAUGACUUUUCGCCUUUGAACCUGGUGCUCUGUUACAUUUUGACUCAUAAAUACUGCAACAACUGGUUUCAUUGUUUUUACUUAUUCCUCUUGAUGUGUCCUUUCUUUAAAGUUUUAGGCAUGUUGCUCCAUGUAGAUAAUUGCUGUAGAUUAAGAGCUUUCACAUUUAAUUAAAACAGAAUUAAAAAUUAAUACUACUACUCCAUUCAACGCCCUGCUAAACAUCUUCUCCAGCAAUCAUUCACUCCACCAGUUUGUCCAAAAUAACCAUUCAAUAAUAGUUAUCUCAGACACUCAUCAAUGUCUCUUUCUCACCAUGUUUCUAUGCCAGUAAUUAAGUCUCUACAAAUAUAUAUAUAUAUAUAUAUGUAUUCAGUGGGAUUCUGGGCCUGUAUUUAACAAAGUCUACUGAAGUCAUCCUUCAAGUUCAAAGACCUUGAAAACACAGAUUUAUGUUUUGGAGAAUGCUUAAAACCGUUUUCUCAGAGGCAUGAUGAAAAUUCAGUGGUCCCAUCACUUCGUACUUUAAGCUUCCUCACUAUCUAACUUUUCAUAUACACAUUAAAAUUAAGGUCUAACAUUUCUCUUCAAAACACAUUUGUAACUGUUUCAAGUAUAUUUGACAAGUGACACAACUUCCAACUCAUUCAUUUAUUGUUCGCAGCCCACGGACCCACAACAUGCUUUGGAUUCCAAGUUCAACCAAGCUUUACAAACUGAGCCCCAUGUUUUCAACAUCGUGCUGCAAAGAGAUAAACUCUCUGCAGUAAAACUGGGCUGUAUCUUUUGAUAUGUGAGCACAAAGGUCAGGUUAUGUGACAGUCAUAUUUGCCUUCUGCUCGCCAUUUCAGAAUAAUCAUCACUUUCCAAAUUCCAGUCUUUUCCAUCACACUUAAUUACUGCAAUAAAAGCCAUCUGUUUGAAAAGCACAGAUUGCCCAUUCAGAUUGAAAUAGAGACACUAAAAAUUUAGAUCUAGACUCUAUACUUCACCUCAUUAAUCAAGCCAUAAACCACAAUUACAAAGUCCCACAGAUAAUUCCCUCAUUUCAACUAUGUGACAAUUUCCCCCUUUUUAAAUCGAAGCUGUUUGGAUCAGAAAGCUCAGCUUCAUAUGUAGCUGUGUUUAUGGUCACAGGCACAUGCCAAUAGCACCAUCUACACUUCAGUACACCUGCUUUCCUUUAGAUGUUUAAAGGAAUUAAGUUUACGAGAAAUAUACCCUUAAAAAAAAUAUUAAAGUGCUCUUUAACAAUUACACAGAAGCUUUUCCUAGUUACUAG